GAUGAACGCUGGCGGCGUGCCUAAUACAUGCAAGUCGAGCGAACAGACGAGGAGCUUGCUCCUCUGACGUUAGCGGCGGACGGGUGAGUAACACGUGGAUAACCUACCUAUAAGACUGGGAUAACUUCGGGAAACCGGAGCUAAUACCGGAUAAUAUAUUGAACCGCAUGGUUCAAUAGUGAAAGACGGUUUUGCUGUCACUUAUAGAUGGAUCCGCGCCGCACUAGCUAGUUGGUAAGGUAACGGCUUACCAAGGCAACGAUGCGUAGCCGACCUGAGAGGGUAAUCGGCCACACUAGAACUGAGGCACAGUCCGGACUACUACGGGAGGCAGCAGUAGGGAGUCUUACGAAGUGGGCGAAAGCUUGACGGAGCAACGCCGCGUGAGUGAUGAAGGUCCGCGGAUCGUAAAACUCUGUUAUUAGGGAAGAACAAAUGUGUAAGUAACUAUGCACGUCUUGACGGUACCUAAUCAGAAAGCCACGGCUAACGACGUG
rnacentral:rRNA from 1 species